rnacentral:piRNA from 1 species
UGGAUGUCUGCCUCUACUAACUGGGA